rnacentral:rRNA from 1 species
GGACGAACGCUGGCGGCGUGCCUAACACAUGCAAGUCGAGCGAAGUGAGAUUAGAAGAAAUCUUCGGAUGGAAUCUAAACUUAUCUUAGCGGCGGACGGGUGAGUAACGCGUGAGGAACCUGCCUUUCACAAAGGGAUAGCCUCGGGAAACUGGGAUUAAUACCUUAUGAAACUAUAAUAUCGCAUGGUAAGAUAGUUAAAGCGAAAGCGGUGAAAGAUGGACUCGCGUCCCAUUAGUUAGUUGGUGAGGUAAAGGCUCACCAAGGCAGCGAUGGGUAGCCGGCCUGAGAGGGUGAACGGCCACACUGGAACUGAGAGACGGUCCAGACUCCUACGGGAGGCAGCAGUGGGGAAUAUUGCACAAUUGGAGGGAACUCUGAUGCAGCGACGCCGCGUGAACGAAGAAGGCUUUCGGGUCGUAAAGUUCUGUCCUUGGGGACGAUAAUGACGGUACCCAAGGAGGAAGCCCCGGCUAACUACGUGCCAGCCGCCGC